GAUGAUAUAGCUUAGUUAGUAGAGUGAUUGCCUUGCAUACACAAGUCCUGGGUUCAAUCCCCAACAUCUCU
rnacentral:tRNA from 1 species